rnacentral:rRNA from 1 species
GACGGAGGAUGCAAGUGUUAUCCGGAAUCACUGGGCGUCAAGCGUCUGUAGGUGGUUCGAAAAGUCCACUGUUAAAAAUUGAGGCUUAACCUCAAAGAUGCCGUGGAAACUUUCAAACUAGAGUAUGGUAGGGGUAGAGGGAAUUUCCAGUGGAGCGGUGAAAUGCGUAGAUAUUGGAAAGACCACCGAUGGCGAAGGCACUCUACUGGGCCAUUACUGACACUGAGAGACGAAAGCUAGGGGAGCAAAUGGG